rnacentral:rRNA from 1 species
AAUGAACGCUGGCGGUAGGCCUAACACAUGCAAGUCGAACGGCAGCAUAGUAAGAGCUUGCUCUUACGGGCGGCGAGCGGCGGAAGGUUGAGGAAUACUUCGGAAUCUACUUUUUCGUGGGGGCUAACGUAGGGAAAAUUACGCUAACACCGCAUACGACCUACGGGUGAGAGCCGGGGAUCUUCUGACCAUGCGCGAUUGAAUGAGCCUAUGUCGGAUUAGCUAGUUGGCGGGGUAAAGGCCCAGCAAGGCGACGAUCGGUAGCGGGUCUGACAGAAUGAUCGGCCACACGGGAACUGAGACACGGGCCAGACUCCGGCGGUAGGCAGCGGUAGGGAAUAUUGGGCAAUGAGCGAAAGCCUGAUACAGCCAAACCGCGUGAAUGAAGAUGGCCUUCGGGUUGGAAAGCCCUUUUGGUGUGAAAGAAAUAAAGCCGGUUUAUCCCGCACUAUUCUGACAGUACCCAAAGAAUAAGCUCCGGCUAACUUCGUG